rnacentral:rRNA from 1 species
UACGUAGGGUGCAAGCGUUGUCCGGAAUUAUUGGGCGUAAAGAGCUCGUAGGCGGUUUGUUGCGUCGGCUGUGAAAUCCCGAGGCUCAACCUCGGGUCUGCAGUCGAUACGAGCAAACUAGAGUGUUGCAGGGGAGACUGGAAUUCCUGGUGUAGCGGUUGAAAUGACGCCAGGAUAUCAGGAGGAACACCGGUGGCGAAGGCGGGUCUCUGGGCAACAACUGACGCUGGAGGAGCGAAAGCGUGGGGAGCGAACAGG